AGCCCGUGUCGAUCAUCAAUGGAGGCAGAUCUUUUGAAUAAUGUUUUUCCAUUUGAGGAACCAGACUGCAAAUUCUUCAAAAUCUGCUUCACAUUUGGUCCACCAUCAUCACAAAUCGAAUUCUGGAGCCAGCUGUUAUUGCCUUUUUCCAGCUUCUUGCCCCUCUCAUUUACGGUUUUAACAUGCUUUUGUUGUUAUAGUC
rnacentral:misc_RNA from 1 species